rnacentral:rRNA from 1 species
CGCACAAGCGGUGGAGCAUGUGGUUUAAUUCGAAGAUACGCGAAGAACCUUACCUGGGCUUGAUAUCCUAAGAACCUUUUAGAGAUAAGAGGGUGCUAGCUUGCUAGAACUUAGAGACAGGUGCUGCACGGCUGUCGUCAGCUCGUGUCGUGAGAUGUUGGGUUAAGUCCCGCAACGAGCGCAACCCACGUAUUUAGUUGCUAACGGUUCGGCCGAGCACUCUAAAUAGACUGCCUUCGUAAGGAGGAGGAAGGUGUGGACGACGUCAAGUCAUCAUGGCCCUUAUGCCCAGGGCGACACACGUGCUACAAUGGCAUAUACAAUGAGACGCAAUACCGCGAGGUGGAGCAAAUCUAUAAAAUAUGUCCCAGUUCGGAUUGUUCUCUGCAACUCGAGAGCAUGAAGCCGGAAUCGCUAGUAAUCGUAGAUCAGCCAUGCUACGGUGAAUACGUUCCCGGGUCUUGUACUCACCGCCCGUCACACCAUGGGAGUUGAUUUCACUCGAAGCCGGAAUACUAAACUAGUUACCGUCCACAGUGGAAUCAGCGACUGGGGUGAAGUCGUAACAAGGUAACCGUAGGAGAACCUGCGGUUGGAUCACCUCCUUU